CCCUAUGGGGUGCAGCAGGCGGAUUUGUAAGUCAGAGGUGAAAUCUCACAGCUUAACUGUGAAACUGCCUUUGAUACUGCAAGUCUAGAGUAUGGAAGAGAGUGAUGGAAUGUCUGGUGUAGCAGUGAAAUGCGUAGAUAUCAGAUAGAACACCAAUGGCGAAGGCAGUCACUUGGUCCAUUACUGACGCUAAAGCACGAAAGCGUGGGUAGCAAACA
rnacentral:rRNA from 1 species